UCCGGUUUGGCACCGGCAGUCGGACUAGAGUCCCCGACAUGACUCGCUGGCAACUAGUCCCAAGGGUUGCGCUCGUUGCGGGACUUAACCCAACAUCUCACGACACGAGCUGACGACAGCCAUGCAGCACCUGUGCAGGAGCUCCGAAGAGGAACCGGCGUUUCCGCUGGCUUUCCCCUGCAUGUCAAGCCCAGGUAAGGUUCUUCGCGUUGCGUCGAAUUAAACCACAUGCUCCACCGCUUGUGCGGGCCCCCGUCAAUUCCUUUGAGUUUCAGCCUUGCGGCCGUACUCCCCAGGCGGGGCACUUAAUGCGUUAGCGCCGACCCUCAAGGGGUCGCUCCCCCAAGGAUCUAGUGCCCAUCGUUUACGGCGUGGACUAC
rnacentral:misc_RNA from 1 species